GUCUAUUUGAAGAUAUUUAUAGUCUGGCCUGCUCCCUGAUUAAUAUUAAAGAGCCGCGGUAAUUUGACCGUGCAAAGGUAGCAUAAUCAUUAGUUUCUUAAUUGGGAACUUGUAUGAAAGGUUGGACAAAGGAAAAGCUGUCUUUGUUAUAAAAUUUGAAAUUAACUUUCAAGUGAAAAGGCUUGAAUAAGUCAGAGGGACGAUAAGACCCUAUAAAGCUUUAUAUGGAAAUAAAAUUAAACUAAAUUUAAUAUAAAAGUUAAAAUCUUUUUUUAUAUUUUAUUGGGGUGAUAUUGAUAAAAGUAAUAUUAACUGUUAAAUUUGAAUACAUGAAUAAAGGAGUUUGUAAGUAAUGAUCCUUAUUUAAAGAUUAAAAGAUUAAGUUACUUUAGGGAUAACAGCGUAAUUUUUCUUAAGAGUUCAUAUCGAAAGAAAAGAUUUCGACCUCGAUGUUGAAUUAAGAUAUCUAUAUAAAGCAGUCAUUAUAUAAGAAGGUCUGUUCGACCUUUAAAUUUUUACAUGAUUUGAGUUCAGACCGGCGUGAG
rnacentral:rRNA from 1 species